GAGUUUGAUCUUGGCUCAGAUUGAACGCUGGCGGCAUGCCUUACACAUGCAAGUCGAACGGCAGCACGGGAGCUUGCUCCUGGUGGCGAGUGGCGAACGGGUGAGUAAUGCAUCGGAACGUAUCCUGGAGUGGGGGAUAACGUAGCGAAAGUUACGCUAAUACCGCAUAUUCUGUGAGCAGGAAAGCGGGGGACCUUCGGCCGUCGCGCUCUUGGAGCGGCCGAUGUCGGAUUAGCUAGUUGGUGAGGUAAAAGGCUCACCAAGGCGACGAUCCGUAGCAGGUCUGAGAGGAUGAUCUGCCACACUGGAACUGAGACACGGU
rnacentral:rRNA from 1 species